CUGCCUUUAGAAGCACAGCUGCAGAGAUUCCUAGGGGCAGAAGUUGUCCGAGAGCUUGGUCGGAAGCUGUAGGGCCAGAUCAGCGACUCUGCGACUUUUAAGUCUUUACAUGGAUGAGAUGGCAACCACACAGAUUUCCAAAGAUGAACUUGAUGAACUCAAAGAAGCCUUUGCAAAAGUUGAUCUCAACAGUAACGGAUUCAUUUGCGACUAUGAACUUCAUGAGCUUUUCAAGGAAGCUAAUAUGCCAUUGCCUGGAUAUAAAGUGAGAGAAAUUAUACAAAAACUCAUGCUGGAUGGAGACAGAAAUAAAGAUGGGAAGAUAAGCUUUAAUGAAUUU